rnacentral:misc_RNA from 1 species
CGUUCUGUUAUGUUCGAUUCGAUCGUGUUAUGCCUUCCGUGUUAGUCUGGACUAAAUCCAGAUAAAAUUUUUUGCUGUGUUAUCUUCAGUUUAAUCGGAAGGGGAAAAUUGAAAUGGUAUGAUUGUUUAUGAAAUAUUAAUCGAGAUGUCCAAUUAAUAUGGUAGUUGCUGCCACCAGAAAUAGUCUAAGGACUAUUUCAAAGAAUUUCCUUUUAUUAUUAUUAUUUUCUUUAAGUUGGGAGUGUUAGUGUAUGAUGGUUAUUGUUUGUCUAUCGUGUCUUUUGGAUUCCCAGUCUGGAAGUGAGAGUCUAUUAUCUACUAACUCGUGUUUAAUGGGUAGCGUUGACUUACGUUUGAUGCAACUGGCAAACGAAUUCCACCUUUCGGCUAACCUGCUAUGCGCAGGAAUACUGGCACGGGAGAGGAUUAAAGUUAUUAGGGAUAGACAAUUGGCAACGUAUUUAUUUCGUCUAACAGAGUUAUGUUGAUUUA